GUGUUAUUGAGUGGAACACGCACUUUGACCCCAUACUGGGCUUUUCUCUCCCUUGUCCAUGCUGUUGUGUUAUUGGUUAGCAUGUUAGCCUUGCUGCUGUCGGUUAGCCGCAGAGCUACGUGUCGGUGAGCCGGUACACGGUUCGGCCCGAGAGAGAGAGAGAGAGCGGUUCCUUCAGUGUCUAAAUGUUGUGGUAGGGUUUAAACAGCAGAAGCAGGAGCUGGACUCCUGUGGUGUCUUUAUAUCGACAGAUACCGGUUUAUUUUGCUCUGGCUGCUGCUUGUUUUGUUGUCAGUGCGCGGUUCCUGCUAAAGGAAUUCUGGUUCUGAUUCUCCAGACAAUAGUGGACCGUGGUGGUGUUUAGGGUUCUGGUUCCUGGUCAUGGCUCAAGAUCCACUAGCAGACGCUGGACUUCACUUCGAUGAACUCAACAAGUUACGAGUCCUCGAUCCAGAUGUCUCCCAGAAAACCACCGAGCUCAAAGAGGAAUGCCAAGACUUUGUUGACAAAGUUGGGCAGUUUCAGAAGACAGUAGGUGGACUCGUUGAAAUGGUGGAUGAACUGGCCAAGGAAGCAGAAAAAGAAAAAAUGAAGGCACGUAUAUUAAUUUAAAAUUCUGAAAUUGACCAUGAAUUGUAUGAACUUGACAUGUAUUUUUUUUAACAGGCAAUAGGUGCUAGAAAUCUGCUGAAAUCAGUUGUGAAACAACGAGAGGCUCAGCAGCAACAGCUCCAGGCUCUAAUUGCAGAGAAGAGGAUACAGCUGGAAAGGUACAGAAUUGAAUACGAAGCUCUUUCCAAAGUCGAAGCGGAGCAGAAUGAGUUCAUUGACCAGUUUAUGCUGCAGAAAUGAUCAUCUUUUCUUCAGCAUUUUGUCAAGAGGACAGAAAGUAUGAUGCUAUGCGUCUCUGAAAAUGACUUCACCAAUAAGAAGUGGGAUUCUCACUUGGUCAUUUGUUUCAGUCCGUGGAUUCAACAACCUCAGCAUAUGACCCAGUUCCUGGGGUUACAAAUGUAACACAUCUGUUCCACAAUAAGGCAUUAAAUAAGUAUUUAGAUAUAAAACAAAAUAUUUAUACUAUUUAUAUAGAAUUGUUCUGUAAAUCUUAUUUUAAUACUUUUUGCUACCAGGUAAAAUACAGUACCUGCAUGUUACUGUAAAUAAUUACAAAAUCAGGACGAGUGAUUAUCUGUACAUUUUGUAUUCUUUUUGUGACUUGAACACUUUUGAUUUUAUCGUAUCUUUAAUUUCUUGACACUCUUGGUUUUUCAUGGGACCACAAGAGGAAGUGCAUUUAAAGUUCAGGAAAUUUCAAUCACCAAACAGUGCAUUUAUUUACUUUGUUUACAGUACAUUAUUAAAAUCCUGACGCAGCACCUGCCGUCAGUCAUGCUUGCUUUGACAGACGUCAUGUAUAUUUGAAUAAAACUAUUUUGCUCA